UUUGGCUUGUUACGGGUGGUUGGAUGUCUGCUUGCGCAGGACGUCCACGCGUGCAUGCCUCUUCAGUUGUGUUGCAAGGCCUCGAUGGCCUUGUGCAUUAUGUGGGUUUUCUGUGCUGCAUACCUAAUCGAUGGCAUCGUAUGGAUCGAAGAAGCCCCUUUCCGUCGUGCGUUGCUCGUUCGACGCGCGACGGACCCUCAGGCGGCCUUUGUCGUCCAUCUCGUGGAUGCAUGCGCAUCGACGACCUGGCCGAUGGAGAAACGCUUGGUGUCUCGGAUACGGAACCUGAUGUGGGCAAGGGGUCUGUCACGACCUGCAUCUGCCCUCGUUUAGCGUUCUCGCUUCUCUGAAACGACAGCUCGUGGUGUCUCGGCUCGUUCGUGCUCCAUGGGCUACGUCGACGA
rnacentral:misc_RNA from 1 species